UAGUCACGGUGUUUCUGGUCAUGCCGGCGGCGUCAACACGCAGCUGAAAGGAAAGCCACGGACUCUCACUUUUCCCAGGACUUCCGUUUCCUUUUCUCCGCGACGUGAGGCUCCGCUACUCUCACAUACACGACCUUUUGGGAGGAAAGGGGGAAGAGACUGAAGCAAGGUCAGGAGUUCAGUUUGCGGCUGGACUCAUUCAACUUCCAAACAGCAAGUCAGCAGGAACGUCUCUCCAGACACCAUACCUGGAGCCAUCUAUCCAGACUGUGCAGCUCACGGUUUGUGUUGUAGGGAGGGUUACGCACAGAGCAGCGGUAGAGAACGGGAAUCCACGUGACGGUGGUGUUUUGGGCGGUGGAGUGACGUGCCGCUGAUGUGUGGAGGCGAGCACAGCACAGCACAGCACAGCGGAGGUGAGGAGUUGACGAUCCAAAGGUCUGGCUCUGCAGCGAUCCCGAGCCUUCUGUACCAUCAGGGAAGGGCUCCGCCUCGCACGGCACCUUCAUUACACCCCUGGCCCUUCUCUCAACACCACCUGCCUUUUGGUAAAUUACCGGCAAACGCCUGAUGAUGCCGCCGCCGCCGCUGCUGCUGCUGCUGCUGCUGCCGCCGCCGCCGUCGUCGCCGUCGCCGUUCAAGGAGAGAGUCUGCCUCCCAUCACACACAUUUGCCCACCCAGCAAAUGCCACUGUCGCCGGAGGGAAUAGAGAUGUGGGUUGCCCUGCCAAAUUCCUUCAUAUGUGGUGUUGAUGUAAUUGCUUACAUAGCUAUCUAUGAUGGUGCGGUGCCAUUUCUGAUUUGUAAUUAAGUUACAUUCCCUCAAUUGUGCUGUUGUACGUACCCUUACUGUGCAUUUCCAUGUAAUGUUGUGCAUUCCCAUGUAAUGCUGUUAAUGUACUUGUUACUGAAUAAUAAAUUGAAA